AUGUUCUCCCAGGCUCAGCUGCUCUGGCUACUGGCGCUGUGGAUUCCAGAUGCCAAGGGGCAGAUUGUGCUGACUCAGACUCCAGAAUCCCUGGCAGUGUCUCCUGGAGACAGAGUCACCAUCAACUGCAAAGCCAGUUCCAGUGUUAGCAGCAGCUACCUGUCCUGGUACCAACAGAAAUCAGGACAAGCUCCUAAGCUCCUUAUUCACAGCGCUUCCACCCGUCCCUCUGGGAUCCCAGACCGGUUCAGUGGCAGUGGGUCUGGCACAGACUUCACUUUUACAAUCAGCCGGGUUGAAGCUGAUGAUGCUGGAGAUUAUUACUGCCAGAAGGGUGGCAGCUCCCCUCUCACACAGUGA